GGAUCAGGUAGGAAUACCCGCUGAACUUAAGCAUAUCAAUAAGCGGAGGAAAAGAAACCAACAGGGAUUGCCUUAGUAACGGCGAGUGAAGCGGCAACAGCUCAAAUUUGAAAUCUGGCCCUUGGGUCCGAAUUGUAAUUUGUAGAGGAUGAUUUUGGUGCGGUAUCUUCCGAGUUCCUUGGAACAGGACGCCUUAGAGGGUGAGAGCCCCGUACGGUUGAAUGCCUAGCCUCUGUAAAUCUCCUUCGACGAGUCGAGUAGUUUGGGAAUGCUGCUCUAAAUGGGAGGUAAAUUUCUUCUAAAGCUAAAUAUUGGCCAGAGACCGAUAGCGCACAAGUAGAGUGAUCGAAAGAUGAAAAGCACUUUGAAAAGAGGGUUAAAUAGCACGUGAAAUUGU
rnacentral:rRNA from 1 species